rnacentral:rRNA from 1 species
UACGAAGGGGGCUAGCGUUGCUCGGAAUCACUGGGCGUAAAGGGUGCGUAGGCGGGUCUUUAAGUCUGGGGUGAAAUCCUGGAGCUCAACUCCAGAACUGCCUUUGAUACUGAAGAUCUUGAGUGCGGGAGAGGUGAGUGGAACUGCGAGUGUAGAGGUGAAAUUCGUAGAUAUUCGGAAGAACACCAGUGGCGAAGGCGGCUCACUGGACCGGUAUUGACGCUGAGGUGCGAAAGCGUGGGGAGCAAACAGG